AUGCGUCAAGUACAAGAGCUUCUCGACAAAGGAGGCAUUAAUAAUAUUACUAUUCGUUAUCGUCAUCCUAUUCCUAGGCUAGAUGAUAUGCUUGAUGAAUUGAGUGGCUCUACAAUAUUCUCCAAAGUUGAUUUACGUAGUGGAUACCAUCAAAUUCGUAUGAAAUUGGGAGAUGAAUGGAAAACAGCAUUCAAAACUAAGUUUGGAUUAUAUGAGUGGUUAGUCAUGCCUUUUGGGUUAACUAAUGCACCUAUUACUUUCAUGAGAUUAAUGAACGAAGUUUUGCGUGCUUUCAUUGGACGAUUUGUGGUAGUUUACUUUGAUGACAUAUUGAUUUAUAGCAGAUCUUUGGAAGAACAUUUGGAACAUUUACGUGCUGUUUUUAUUGCUCUACGUGAUGCAUGUUUGUUUGGUAACCUUGGGAAGUGCACCUUUUGCACCGACCGAGUAUCUUUUCUUGGCUAUGUUGUUACUCCACAGGGAAUUGAAGUUGAUAAAGCCAAGAUUGAAGCUAUUGAGAGUUGGCCGCAGCCCAAAACGGUCACACAAGUGAGGAGUUUUCUUGGCCUCGCUGGAUUCUAUAGGCGUUUUGUGAGAGAUUUCAGCACCAUUGCUCCACCUCUCAAUGAGCUUACAAAGAAAGAUGUGCCUUUUCUUUGGGGUACCGCACAGGAAGAAGCCUUCACGGUAUUGAAAGAUAAGUUGACACAUGCUCCUUUACUCCAACUUCCUGAUUUUAAUAAGACUUUUGAGCUUGAAUGUAAUGCUAGUGGAAUUGGAUUAGGAGGUGUGUUAUUACAAGAUGGCAAACCUGUUGCAUACUUUUCUGAAAAAUUGAGUGGGCCUAGUCUGAAUUAUUCUACUUAUGAUAAAGAAUUAUAUGCUCUUGUUCGGACUUUAGAAACAUGGCAACAUUAUUUAUGGCCCAAAGAAUUUGUUAUACAUUCUGAUCAUGAAUCUUUGAAACAUAUUAAAAGUCAAGCUAAACUGAAUCGUAGACAUGCUAAAUGGGUUGAAUUCAUUGAGACUUUCCCUUAUGUCAUUAAACACAAGAAGGGAAAAGAAAAUGUUAUUGCUGAUGCAUUGUCUCGUCGCUAUACUAUGCUUUCACAACUUGACUUCAAAAUAUUUGGUUUGGAGACCAUCAAAGAUCAAUAUGUGCAUGAUGCUGAUUUUAAAGAUGUAAUGCAGAAUUGUAAAGAAGGAAGAAUGUGGAACAAGUUUGUUGUUAACGAUGGAUUUGUGUUUCGUUCUAACAAGCUAUGCAUUCCAGCUAGCUCCGUUCGUCUUUUGUUGUUGCAGGAGGCGCAUGGAGGAGGAUUAAUGGGACACUUUGGCGUGAAGAAGACGGAGGACGUACUUGCUACACAUUUCUUUUGGCCAAAGAUGAGACGGGAUGUUGAGCGGCUGUUUUGA
rnacentral:rRNA from 1 species